rnacentral:rRNA from 1 species
CAGGCCUAACACAUGCAACUCGCAGGAGACCUUCGGUUCUAGUGGCGCACGGGUGCGUAACGCGUGGGAAUCUGCCCUUGGGUUCGGAAUAACAGCGAGAAAUUGCUGCUAAUACCGGAUGAUGACGUAAGUCCAAAGAUUUAUCGCCCAGGGAUGAGCCCGCGUAGGAUUAGCUAGUUGGUGGGGUAAAGGCCUACCAAGGCGACGAUCCUUAGCUGGUCUGAGAGGAUGAUCAGCCACACUGGGAGUGAGACACGGCCCAGACUCCUACGGGAGGCAGCAGUGGGGAAUAUUGGACAAUGGGCGCAAGCCUGAUCCAGCCAUGCCGCGUGAGUGAUGAAGGCCUUAGGGUUGUAAAGCUCUUUCACCCACGACGAUAAUGACGGUAGUGGGAGAAGAAGCCCCGGCUAACUUCGUGCCAGCAGCCGCGGUAAU